CGGGAGGUUGCAGUGGUGCCCAAACCCAGCAGUCAUCUCACCCUUUCUCUUCAAGUGUGAAAAUGGCCAGCAAGCUGAGCUGGCCCUGCGUUUGCAUCACUUUGUUGGGAGGAGUUUUAAUUGGAGCUGAGUGCUUGACACCUGGACAGAAAAUUGGUGGAACCUGAUGCGUCCCCACAGUGGAAUCUCCAAGAGAGAGGACAUCAUGGUUAUCUAGAUCUCCUGCACUUCUCUGAUCUCCUUCCUUUCUGAGGGUCCCAUCCAGUUAACCACGUUACACAUAGUCAUCACGUCUCCUUAGGCUACUUUCGGCUGUGACGCUUUCUCAGAUUUUCAUUGUGUUUAAUGACCUUGACAGUUUUGAGAAGUGCUGCUGAGUUCAUUUUACAGAAUUUCCCUCAAUUGCAAUUUAUUUGAUGUUUUUCUUAUGUUCAGCCCGGGGUUAUGGGUUUGGGGGAGGAAGACCACAGAUGUGAAGAGACAUUUUCAUAAUAUUGUAUUAAGGGUACAUACUACCAGUGUGACCUAUCACCAUUGACUACAACCUUGAACCUGGCUGAGGUAGAGUUUGUCAGGCAUAGCAUUUUUUCAAUGGCAAAUGUCCAUUGCAUAUUUAAAAGACAAUAAGGAAAUUAAUUGACGUGCUACCUGUUAGGAAUGCAGUUUAUACUUGAAACAUAUUAUAUCCAUGAUAUUAACUUGGGGUAGUGAGAGGUUGAAUUGACAUGAAAUGAACCAAAACUUAACAAAAU